AAAUUGAAGAGUUUGAUCAUGGCUCAGAUUGAACGCUGGCGGCAGGCCUAACACAUGCAAGUCGAGCGGUAGCACAGAGAGCUUGCUCUCGGGUGACGAGCGGCGGACGGGUGAGUAAUGUCUGGGAAACUGCCUGAUGGAGGGGGAUAACUACUGGAAACGGUAGCUAAUACCGCAUAACGUCGCAAGACCAAAGUGGGGGACCUUCGGGCCUCAUGCCAUCAGAUGUGCCCAGAUGGGAUUAGCUAGUAGGUGGGGUAACGGCUCACCUAGGCGACGAUCCCUAGCUGGUCUGAGAGGAUGACCAGCCACACUGGAACUGAGACACGGUCCAGACUCCUACGGGAGGCAGCAGUGGGGAAUAUUGCACAAUGGGCGCAAGCCUGAUGCAGCCAUGCCGCGUGUGUGAAGAAGGCCUUCGGGUUGUAAAGCACUUUCAGCGGGGAGGAAGGCGAUAAGGUU
rnacentral:rRNA from 1 species